rnacentral:rRNA from 1 species
CAGCAGCCACGGUAAUACGGAGGGUGCAAGCGUUAUCCGGAUUUAUUGGGUUUAAAGGGUCCGUAGGCGGACUUAUAAGUCAGUGGUGAAAGCCUGUCGCUUAACGAUAGAACUGCCAUUGAUACUGUAAGUCUUGAGUAUAUUUGAGGUAGCUGGAAUAAGUAGUGUAGCGGUGAAAUGCAUAGAUAUUACUUAGAACACCAAUUGCGAAGGCAGGUUACCAAGAUAUAACUGACGCUGAGGGACGAAAGCGUGGGUAGCGAACAGGAUUAGAUACCCCGGUAGUCCCUGUCUCUUAUAC